ACUGAAGAGCUGAUAUUUUUGUUCAAGCAGAAACACACGCAUAAUUUGAAGAAAUCAUACAAAUAUAAUCACACACAGAUUAGGCAGGGCCAUUACUACAAUCACCUGAAGAAAUAUAUUAUUUCUCUUACUCACGGGUUUAAUUUCAGUCUCUUAUUUUGAACUAACUGAGCAGUGUGGUGUCAUACAAUGGACAGGGUGGGGGAAACCAAAGCUUGGAAUCUCCAGCCUGCUAGCUCAGGUCUCCUGUUGCAGUGUUGCCCUUAACCUCGCUGGGCAUUAACUACACCAGAAGAGCAUUGGCUAUGAUCACUGGAGUGGCUCCCACUUCAGAUUUUGGCUUUUUGGUCACCAGGCAUGUCCCAGACCAGGGAUUGAACCUCCACUCCUGGCAUUGGAAAGUGAAGUCUCAACCACUGGACCACCAGGGAAGCCCCUACACCAGUCUUCUUAAAGGACACAAGUUUCACAAAUAAUUGCCCCAAAGAUGACAACUUUAAUUUUUUUCAAAGUGUGCCUUGAUUGUGGCCAGCUAUUAGCAAUUCUUCUCUUCAUGUUUUUAAGCCAAUAUUCUCUUUCAGCUUUGCUAAGGGACCUCAGUUUGACACAGUUUGAGAAGAUGUUAAGAAGGUUCUGUGCAAGUAUAUGUGGAGGAAAAAAAAGAGAAACAAGGAGCUGAAUUUUCACUCAAUGCAGCCCCCCUCGCUUAAAGAAAUAACUGCAGUACAGAUUUUAACAAUUAACAUUCCUGCAGUGGAUGUCGUUAUGGAUGGAGCUAAUAAAUGUUUUCAAACACUCCUCUGCUCAAAUACACCGUUCAGCUUAUUUUCUGUCAUUUGAUGGCAUGGGUGGGUUGAGACAUUCCUCUAAGCUUUUUUUUUUCCUUCCAAGUCUAAGAAAGAGAUCUUAUCUUCCUACCCACCCUCACUCACCCCCUUCCUCUGCCCUUCCCUCUCAGCGCCUACUUCACUGAAACCUGACUUGCAGGUCAGCGGGCUGGUAACAGAUUAAUUUUACUCUGUGAGGAACACCAAGCAUUUUGGCCAGGAAACAUGAGAACCCUGUUAUAAUAUUACCGUUUUUCUAAAUUAAAUAUUAGGAAAAAUUAAACCAAAUUGUGGCACAAAGUGCAAUGGAAAAUAUUUCUCUUCCAAACACUCCUCUGUGAUAAAUGCCUGUGUAAGUGAAAGCACAAUAAAUAUGCCCUACAUUAAAAACCUAGAUUAUUCAGGUUUUAAGACUUAUAGCUAAAAGUGGUUUAAUGUUUCAUGCCUAAUAAUAGAUUACUCCUAUCACAUUUCUAACCUUUAUUUCUCCUAGCUUUGAAGUCCAGCCAUAUAAAGGUUGUUUGUAGAACCACACGAAAGUUAAAGCAAAUAUUACUUAGAAUGAUUCAUACCGGCAAGAAUUUGCAAUGAAGGCAGAGGUGUUUUUUUUUUUUUUUGGUGUGUAUGUGUGUCUGAAUCAAAGGAAAUGAAAUGUUUGUAAUAUUUUUUGGUUGAUAAAUUUAUUAAAACAUUUUAGAGGCUUGUAGUAGAGACACAGCUGACAUAAACAAACUGACUGGAAACAGAUUAUAUUCUGCUCUGUGGGGGAGGUGGAAUUUAAAGGGGGAAAAAUUCCCUGGAUUUCAAAAAUUGCCACCAGGUCACAGCAAUACUUAAUUAACUGAAUACAUUAACGGAAAGCUAUAAUGUAGAUGCUAAAAAAAAGUGAGUGAGGGAGAGCAGUCAAGUUCA